AGAAAAUAUUCCAAUACCUUUCUCUGUAAGUCCUAAUUCUUGCUCCAUCUCUCUUUAAAACAAAGCCUUUCUCCAACGCUCUCUUCAUCUGCAAACUUCACUACUCCCAUCAUUUAGCUUUAUCUGAUUGAGUUUGUGAAAUUUAUUGAGGCAAUGGAUAAAGAGAAAGAGGUGAAUGCGGCGAGUGGUGGUGUGAAUGUGGCAGAGAAGAAGAGAUUGUCGCAAGCCAAUUCUGAGGCCAUGGAGAAGUGUUUGGAAGAGAACAAAGGAGACAACACCAAAUGCAAGGAUAAGGUUGAAGCUUUCAGAUCAUCUUCCUCAACUUCUUCUCCAACAAAACCCUUGAGGCGUUUCAUAGUAAGGAGUGGUUCAUUGAGUGAUGUUUGAAUGGAAUUCCGGGUAUCUCAAGCUUCUUUUUAUAUUUGAAAUGAAUUAGUGGGUCAAAAUCACUUCCCUUUAGCUUGUUUCAGUCCAUAAUUUCAAAAUUUGUGAAAAUGGUAGUUGAAAGUAAUUUGAGAAAAUUUAGUUGUGUAUGAACAGGCGGUAGACUUUCUUUUCUUAUGUUUUAAUUUGUGAAAAUUGAAGUAAUUUGAGAAA